rnacentral:rRNA from 1 species
CCCUUAGAUGUCCGGGGCCGCACGCGCGCUACACUGAAGGAAUCAGCGUGGCUUUCUCCCUGACCCGAAAGGGUUGGGAAACCCGUUGAAUCUCCUUCGUGAUAGGGAUUGGGGCUUGAAAUUGUUCCCCAUGAACGAGGAAUUCCCAGUAAGCGCGAGUCAUAAGCUCGCGUUGAUUACGUCCCUGCCCUUUGUACACACCGCCCGUCGCUACUACCGAUUGAACGGUUUAGUGAGGGCCUCGGAUUGGUCUCGGCCCGCUCUUUACCGGGCGGCGCCGUUGGUCGAGAAGACGCUCGAACUUGAUCGUUUAGAGGAAGUAAAAGUUGUAACA